rnacentral:tRNA from 1 species
GAUGUAACUCAGUGGUAGAGUACUUGCCUAACAUGCACAAGGCCCUGGGUUGAAUUCCCAGAACAAUA